rnacentral:misc_RNA from 1 species
GAUGAAGAACGUAGCGAAAUGCGAUAAGUAAUGUGAAUUGCAGAAUUCAGUGAAUCAUCGAAUCUUUGAACGCACAUUGCGCCCGCCAGUAUUCUGGCGGGCAUGCCUGUUCGAGCGUCAUUUCAACCAUCAAGCCCCAGGCUUGUGUUGGGGACCUGCGGCUGCCGCAGGCCCUGAAAACCAGUGGCGGGCUCGCUGUCACACCGGGCGUAGUAGAUUUUAUCUCGCUCAGGGCGUGCUGCGGGUUCCGGCCGUUAAAAAGCCUUUUUUACCCAAGGUUGACCUCGGAUCAGGUAGGAAGACCAGCUGAACUUAAGCAUAUCAAUAAGCGGAGGA